AUUGCUCUAUACAAAUAAUUUUACUGAUCUUUUGUUGUAGGACAAGGCAGCGGAGGCUGCUGCUGAACGUUCAGAAAAAAAUGAAGCGCUUGUCAAGUUCAUUGUGGAACAAAAGGGUGCAGAAGAUACACUGCAGGUACGCCUUUUUCUUUUUGUUCAUCACAUAACGCUUAAUCAUUAUGUGAUCACUAUGACCAUGCCACCUCCAGCAAGCAAACAGUACGGUUAAGUUUGAGUACAUUUAUUUUUCAGGCCGUCGUGUCUGGAGAGAAGCAGCCCCACUUUGAAUUUACACAAAAGUGGGUUCCAGUAUUGUUUGAUGACCAACAGUUGGACAGGAUAGUUAAGUACCUGACAGGCUUCCUUCAUAACUGUGAAAAAAUCUCAGAUGAAGUCUCCACCAUGCUGUCCUAUGACAAGCUUAAAUACAUCCUUGUUGUGAUGUUGCCAGAGGUGACAGUAAAGGCCUUGGAAGAAAUAAGGAACAUGACAACAAAAGACGCAGUGGCAGAGGUUGAUCAUGGACCACUGGAUGAGAGUGAAAUGGAGGCCAUGGAGAUGGCAAUAAGGAAUGACAUGGAGAGGCGUGGGCUUGUGUAAAAACGAUCCAAUAAAGGUUUCUUGAAUCAGAUUCACCUGUGUUUUUCAGAUUCUGUAGACUCUGUAGAAUAAUCUAGG